rnacentral:rRNA from 1 species
CUGAUGGCUCACAUGAAGUUUCGUGCCGUUCCGACCUCGUUUGAUACGGUUAUGGUUAACCACACGGCCCCUCGGGCCCGACCCGAGCCCAGUCAACGUUUUGACCCGAUCAAAUCGGCCCGUGACCCGAAACGACCCUACUUGGGCCCUACAACAGCCACGUAAAGUUUCGGGAUGAUCCGACGUUCUUUCAUGGGGUUACGGACAAUCCACGCCAAACAAGCGUCACGGGCCGACCGAGCCGGGCCAACGGGCCCUCGGGACCCGAAAACUGAAUUUUUUUUCAUCCAAACCCAUUAAAACACGUUACCGAGGUCUCACGCAAAAUUUCAUGCCAAUCCGACGUCGUUUGAUGGGGUUUUGAGAUAUUAUGAUUCCUCAAAAAUUUAAUGUCUGUUCCUGUCACUUAGCUUUUUGUGCAAAAUGUAUAUAUAGGGGAGGGGUGGGUGUUGAGCAGCCCAUGCCCGGGCAAGGCAUGCCAGCGCCCAAGCCAAAGGAGGCUGGUGGCGUGCGUAUAACAGCUCAAAUGCCCCAACGAUGACCGAGAACAAGCGCCCAUCUCCCCUCCUUCCCCCCCACCAAGCGCCCCUCCCCCCCCAUGUUGCCUGCCCACUCGCACAGCUACUCGUGAUUUCAUGCCCAGCGACUAGUGAAUGUGCCUCGACGACCAGCAAACCUCGAAAAUUAUGAUUCCUCGUAAAAUUAAUGUCUGUUCCUGUCACUUUACUUUUUGUGCAAAAUGUAUAUAUAGGGGAGACCAGGGGCUUGAGCAACCCCUGUGCCCAAGCAAGGGUCAGAUGGAAGCACACGAGACGCGAGGUUUAAAGCCUAUACAAGCAAGGCGUCUGUCUCCCCAAGCCCCAUUGCCUAUAAAACAAGCCCGAUGCCUUGUAAAUGCCCCACACGAUGCCUAUAAACGACAACGAUGUUUGCUAGUUAAUCGAUCGACGCCCCACACCUUGCAGCAUGUUGCCUAGUAAACAAGCCAUGCUGCCUUGGAAGCGCCCCACAUCAUGGCAUGUUGCCUAGCACGCUGCCCUUGUUUCCAGCACGGCGACCUGAAAGCGUGGCCUGACGACGUGCUUGCCUUCGAAAAUUAUGAUUCCUCAAAAAAUUAAUGUCUGUUCCUGUCACUUUACUUUUUGU